rnacentral:rRNA from 1 species
CCUACGGGAGGCAGCAGUGGGGAAUAUUGGACAAUGGGGGGAACCCUGAUCCAGCCAUGCCGCGUGUGUGAAGAAGGCCCUCGGGUUGUAAAGCACUUUCAGUGAGGAAGAACGCCUGGUGGUUAAUACCCAUCAGGAAAGACAUCACUCACAGAAGAAGCACCGGCUAACUCCGUGCCAGCAGCCGCGGUAAUACGGAGGGUGCGAGCGUUAAUCGGAAUUACUGGGCGUAAAGCGCGCGUAGGUGGCUUGAUAAGCCGGUUGUGAAAGCCCCGGGCUCAACCUGGGAACGGCAUCCGGAACUGUCAAGCUAGAGUGCAGGAGAGGAAGGUAGAAUUCCCGGUGUAGCGGUGAAAUGCGUAGAGAUCGGGAGGAAUACCAGUGGCGAAGGCGGCCUUCUGGACUGACACUGACACUGAGGUGUGAAAGCGUGGGUAGCAAACAGGAUUAGAUACCCCUGUAGUC